GCUCCAUGGUCGAAAGGGAAGGGUAGAGCACUGAAUGGAUGAUGGGGCCUACCGGCUUACUGACUUCAAUCAAACUCCGAAUACCCAUGACCGUAUCGCGGGAGUCAGACCUUGGGGGAUAAGCUCCAUGGUCGAAAGGGAAACAGCCCAGACCAUCAGUUAAGGUCCCAAAGCUGUUGCUAAGUGCAUAAGGAUCUGGAGUUGCUAAGACAGUGAGGAUGUUGGCUUAGAAGCAGCCACCAUUUAAAAAGUGCGUAAUAGCUUACUCAUCGAGCAACUUUGGGCCGAAAAUUAACGGGACUAAGCAACACACCGAAACUAUGGGUGUAUAUGAAUUUAUACGCGGUAGGAGAGCGUUCUACGUUAGAUUGAAGGUGUACCGAAAGGAACAUUGGACGAUGUAGAAGUGCUUAUGCAGACAUGAGUAGCGAUAAGGGGAGCGAGAAUCUCCCCCACCGAAAGCCUAAGGUUUCCUGGGGAAGGCAAAUCCGCCCAGGGUGAGUCGGGACCUAAGGCGAGGCCGAAGGGCGUAGUCGAAGGACAACAGGUUAAUAUUCCUGUACCACUUGGUAUGCGUUAUACCAAAGGAGGGACGCAGGAGGAUAGGUGAUCCGAGUGAUAGUUAUCUCGGUACAAGCGUGUAGGGUGUCCACUAGGUAAAUCCGGGGGACGUGACCUGAGACGUGAUGUGGAGCGCAAGCGAACUCAUUGAUUCCAUGCUGCCAAGAAAAUCUUCUAGGAAGUGUAACAAGUGCCCGUACUAAAACUGACACAGGUAGGCAGGUCGAAUAGACCAAGGUGCUCGAGAAAACUCUCGUUAAGGAACUCGGCAAAUUGGCCCCGUAACUUCGGGAUAAGGGGUGCCCCUCUGGUGAAGAACCUGCGUUCUCAGCUAUGGGGGGUCACAGUAAAUAGGUGGUAGCGACUGUUUAGCAAAAACACAGCACUAUGCCAAGUCGCAAGACGCAGUAUAUAGUGUGACGCCUGCCCAAUGCUGGAAGGUCAAGGGGAACGGUUAGCGCAAGCGAAGCUGUGAACUCAAGCCCCAGUGAAUGGCGGCCGUAACAAUGACGGUCCUAAGGUAGCGAAAUUCCUUGUCGGGUAAGUUCCGACCUGCAUGAAUGGCGUAACGACUUCCACACUGUCUCAACGAGAGGCUCGGCGAAAUUGUAGUAGUGGUGAAGAUGCCACUUUCCCGCACCUAGACGGAAAGACCCCGUGAACCUUUACUGUAACCUGGCAUUGGGUGUUUGUAUCAGUUGUGUAGCAUAGGUGGGAGACUUUGACCUCUGGACGCUAGUCCUGAGUGAGUCGUCA
rnacentral:rRNA from 1 species